rnacentral:snoRNA from 13 species
UGGAAGGCAAACACACAAAUUGGGCUGACAUGCUACUCUAAUUGCCCCCAGGCCUCCCUAGACUACAUUGCUUUUUGAUGACCAAGACAUUAAAUGAAAUGCAACGGACAGAUGUGGGGCAGUCAAUU